CACAGGGCCCCCAUCCAUCCCCUACCUUUCAGUGAAGAUCCGUUCGGGAGAGUAGCUGUCGACAUUAUAGUUGCGAUGGCAACUUUGCAUUCAGAUGUCGGCCCUAUCAACUUUCGAUGCCACUUUCUGCGCCUACCAUGGUGACCACGGGUAAUUGGGAAUCAGGGUUCGAUUCCGGAGUGGCAGCCUGAGAAAAGGCUACCACAUCCAAGGAAGGCAGCAGGCGCGCAAAUUACCCACUCCCGAAGCGGGGAGGAAGUGACG